ACCGCUGGAACGCGGAAGCGGCCAUUUUAUUUCCAGCUCGUUUGUACCCAGAAAGUUUACGUGGACAAAAAUAUGUAUAAAUUUGGCUUGAAGGAAGCGUCCUCCGUCUGCUGCAGGCAAAUGUUUUCCUUCGGCGUCCGGUGGCCUCGUGGCUCCCAGCUGUGUUGCAGAUGUCCCGCUUCAAAAGGGACUUCAAAGCAGAGGUGAACUGCCAGAUCAUCGGGAUCCAUCAGCUCUUUUGUCUCCGACGGAACGAUUCGCACCUACUUGAAAGACCGGUCGGGCCGGCGCCCUCCAGUCUGCCGAAGGGGCUGCCACAGCAAGUCAGCUUCCUCCAGCUUGACCUGUAUUCAUCCGUCUCCUGCUGACGCCUGCUCAAAAGUGGGAUCCUCCACUGUCCAUUUCAGGUAUUGGACAUCCACAUAUCAGCAAUGGAUCACCCCCUGCUGUGCGCUGUGUCUCGGCUGUGGGCUCUGAACCGUGACACCAGCCGCCAGACUGACUUAUCAGGGAGAACGCUGAGAGGUAUGGUGACGGCCUGCCAUCAGAAUCUUGGAAGUUUAACACUUAGUUUCACCAAGUUUUAACUGGCCUGACCAGUUUGAAGGUUAGUACCAUGUAACAUAAGGAUUUCAGCUAUUUUUACCAGCAGGAAAGGGCACUGGGAAAGGUUCCCACACCAGUGGACCGGCAAUAAACAUUUAAGUAGCUUUUAACAUGCCAUUCCACAUUUUGUAGUUGUGGUCCAUGUCAUUGUACUAUAAUUUAAACCUGCGUACCUCCAAACGGAAUUCAGACACAGAGUUUUCCUCCCUGUUUUAGCUGUGAUGUCACCCCAAGUCAAUUGCUAAAACUUAUCCAAUAUGAAUAGUGAGCUUCAAACCUGUUGUUCUGAAUUUCAAAGACAUGAAACUGCAUUGUACGGCAAAGGAGAGUGUGAGGAAGAGGUGAAGAAGCGGGUGCAGGCAGGGUGGAAUCAUUGGAGAAAAGUGUCAGGUGUGAUGUGUGACAAAAGGGUGUCGGCAAGGAUGAAAGGGGAGGUGUCCAAAAGGGUGGUGAGGCCAGCAAUGUUGUAUGGUUUGGAAACAGUGGCACUGAGGGAAAGACAGGAGGCAGAGCUGUAGGUAGCAGAGAUGAAGAUGCUGAGCUUCUCUCUGGGAGUGAGAGCAGGAUGGAUAGGAUCAGAGGGACAGCACAUGUGCUCAGGUGUUUAGGAGACCAAGUCAGAGAGGCUAGAUGGAGAUGGUUUGGACAUGUACAGAGGAGAGAGAGACAGUCCAUUGGUAGAUGAAGAUGUUGAGGUUGGAACUGCCAGUCAGAAGGUGGAGAGGAAGGCCAAAGAGGAGAUGGAUGGAGGUGGUGAAGGAGGACAUGAGGUUUGUAGCUUUGAGAGAAGAGGAAGCAGAGGACAGGGUGAGAUGGAGGAAGAUGAUCUGCUGUGGCCACCCCUGAAGGGAGAAGCCGAAAGAAGAAGAAGAAAAAGAAGAAGAAGAAAAAGAAGAAGAAGCAGAAGGACAUUGGAACUGUCAGGCAGAAGGUGGAGAGGAAGGCCAAAGAGGAGAUUGAUGGAGGUGGUGAAGGAGAACAUGAGGUUUGUAGCUUUGAGAGAAGAGGAAGCAGAGGACAGGGUUAGAUGGAGGAGGAUGAUCCGCUGUGUCCACCCCUGAAAGGAGAAGCCGGAAGAGAAAGGAGAGCUACUUUGUUCUGAUGGGACCUUCUUUUGAUGUUAUCACAUGGCC